UGGAAGUGCAAGAUGUCAAGAAGCACCAUGACGUUAUGGGUGUAUUUCAUCUGGCUCCUCUUCUCCAUGGUGGAAGAAUCCAGUGGGGACAUCGUUAUAACACAGACUCCGGCUUCUGUGACGGCACUUCCAGGAGAGACGGUCACCAUCCAGUGCAAGGCCUCCAGCUCCAUGAGUGAUGAUAUGGCCUUAUUGCUGUUCAAAUCUGGACAAACUCCCAAGCUCCUCAUUCAUGAUGGAAACAACCGUGUCACUGGGGUCCCCGACCGGUUCAGUGGCAGCUACAGCGGCACCGACUUCACAUUCACCAUCCGCGGGGUGCAGGUGGAAGAUGCUGGUGACUACUACUGUGGGCAGGACAACAGCUUCCCUCUCACAGUGAUACACUGCAGUACAAAAACCUCCUUGAUGCCAAAGCAUCCGGUGUGUGAAGCAGAAGGAAGCAGGGGAGGCUGCUUCUGA